GUCGGUGACCAUAAACGUGGGGCAACACCCGUUCCCAUCCCGAACACGGCAGUUAAGCCCACGUUGCCAAUGAUACUGCACUGCGGGAAAGUAGGUCGUCGCCGGCU
rnacentral:rRNA from 1 species